CCUACGGGUGGCUGCAGUGAGGAAUAUUCGUCAAUGGGCGCAAGCCUGAACCAGCCAAGUAGCGUGAAGGAUGACUGUCCUACGGGUUGUAAACUUCUUUUAUAAGGGAAAAAAGCGAGGCACGUGUGCCCUUUUGUAUGUACUUUACGAAUAAGGAUCGGCUAACUCCGUGCCAGCCGCCGCGGUAAUACGGGGGAUACGAGCUUUAUCCGGAUUUGUGGGGUUUAAAGGGAGCGUAGCCGGUAUGUUAAGUCAGUUGUGAAAUUAUCGGGCGAAACCCGAACAUGCCGUUGAAACUGGCGGUCUUGAGUGCAGUAGAGGGAGGCGGAAGUCGAGGUGUAGCGGUGAAAUGCUUAGAUAUAACGAAGAACACCGAUUGCGAAGGCAGCAUACU
rnacentral:rRNA from 1 species